AAUACGUCCGCUUCCUGAAAGCCGAUAGCCGCCCUAGAUAAAGACCAGCCGGUUUGCUCAAUCCCUGUGAAUACGAAAUCCCGAAAUGUGCAGCAAUGUAAAUAAAACUCAGUAUUGCCUCUCCAAUUAGUAUUCUUUGUAACAUUUUCCCUUUCUGUUAGUUCAGGUUGAAUCUUUACCCUCACGCAAUCCCAACUACAUGAUUUUUCGAAACACAUUCCGGCAGUAACUAAUUUCUCCACUACUAUAUUUAUGAACUCCGUUCUCUGAA
rnacentral:lncRNA from 1 species